rnacentral:pre_miRNA from 1 species
AGUGGGAUAGCCGGGUCAAAUGGUGGUUCUAUUCCCAGCUUUACAAGGAAUCUCCAUACGGCUUUCCAGAGUGGUUGCACCACUUUGCAGUCCCACCAGCAAU